GUCAAAGGCACUGUUCCGUAAUGUUAAAAGUCCGAUUCCAAUUUUUCAGUACUCUUGAUUUACCUGAUAACAUUACUUUAUUUUUGUAUAUGAAGGUAGAAUUAGCUACUCAAAUAUUGAGUGACUGUGUCUACUGGUAUCGAUGUAUAUACUCAAUUUGGAGUACUCUCUGCAAGAGCAUUAGCUACAUCUGAAGUUAUCCAAAAACUCUUCAAUUCAUCUACAGAAUUGAAAAAUAUUUAUUUAAGCUUUCAAAGGACUUGAUCAUCUGAAAAUAUUUCUGAAGGAAAGUGAUACAUUUUGCCAAAAUCUCAAUUUUUCAACAAAAAAUUAAAAUAUAAAGGAAAAGGUGGAAUUUAUCAGAGUGUGAGGAUUUCUCUAGAACGUAUUCAAAAAAACUCUUUAUUGUAACAUUUUCUUGUCCAUACAAUGGCUUUUUUGGACAUGUCAAAACUCAUAAAGUAAAGACACACCUGGAGAACAUGUGUUGCGUUUUUGGAAAAAAACUGUUUAGUGAAAAUCCCCAAUAAAGUGUUUUUUGAAUAUGUUA